GUGGCGAAAAAAUGUUUUAUUUGUGUAAAUAUUUGAAAAUUGAAAAGGCAAAAUAUGAGAAGAAUUUGAAAGCCAGUGAGCUUUUGGGCUAUUGAGUUAAUAAGCCCAUUAUUUUGAUUGGAAGAUGUGAAAUUACGACUUAUAUUUCAACUAAAUUUGUACAAGUUACCGAAGCCGAGAAUAACGAAGACACGAACGAAGAACGAACUUCCUGAAACGAAACAGAACUUUUGUUUAUAUCGAUAAAUGUAUAAGCCUGAACAAGUGAACAUUCAUCACCGCCGAGGCGACAUGAGUAACGUUUGAAACCGUUUGCCAAGCCAAAAUUGAAUAUAUCUCUCAGGACGGGCUGUGCUGCACCACUAAAU